AGAGAAAAACAAAGAGAGAGAGAGAGAGAGGGAGAGAGAGAGAGAGAGAGAGAGAGAGAGAAAAGCCGUUUCUGAUUGGCGCAGAGGGGACACGUGGAAACUUGCAUUUGCAUAUGGACUGACAGGUAAGCGUGGGAGAAAAUAGUUUUAGCUAUGCCGCAAACAUACAUACCACUGACUGGAUUGAGAGUUUUGUCAGUUUGCCAGACCAUAUUUCUUUGAACCAAGAGUCACCACAGGGCACGUCGUCGGUCAUCUCACCUGGACGCGCAACAACCGACAGAAUCUUGGACAGUGAUGAGACCCAUUUGAUCAACCCCAGAUUUUGUCCGUUUUUCUACUGUCCUUUUUACCUAACUGAUGCUGUGUUGGUUCAGAUGUAACAACAAAGGCUUCACCAACGUGAUCAAUACUUUCUAUUCAUCAGGGAGCUGUCUGUCACCAUGGCGAUGCAGGUGUCAAUCCCACCUGCAGUGUCAGUGUUUUUGUCGGUCGUGCUGUCCCUUCUCAGCUUGGCUCUGCUGCUGGUGCUGUGUGUCAUCAGGAAGAAAAGGAGGAUGGAGGGAACAUACAGGCCCAGUGCAGAGGAGAGGAAACAGGCGGGAUCGGCGGGAUCUGAAAAACCUGGCCUGCCGCUCCCGUUGCCCAAAGAAGAACGCCUUAUAUGAAAAGUGUUU